UGAAGAACGGAAAGAAGUUUUCUCAUCAAAAGCAGUGUCGUGUUCUACUGAUACAAAUUCAUAUGAGAUAAGCAAAAGAAGAGAUCAACAAAAAGGAAUUUUUUAAUCUAUGAAUCCACCAUAGAGUUCUUCAUCCACAUCCAAAAACUCAACCAUGAAAGGAAAUAGAAAUAAGAUUCUUCACCCACACAACCCAACCAUAAAAGAAAAUAGCAAUCAACUACAUCUAAACUUUGUUUCCAUGGCUAAAUCCACAGAUCUGGUUAUUCAUCCACACAGUUUCACGUUUUACAUUUUACAGACUCAUAUAUGCUAAACCCAACUUCCCUUUUCCUUUAAAAGUUUUCUUUUAAUUUUUUUAUUAGAUCUACAACGUAUAUAGUACAUCUCACAAACCCAGAACAAAAACACAUGUUUAAAGCUUCUUGUAUCACAAAUCCAGUAUAAAAACACAAAUCUAAAACUUCUUGUAUUACAAACCUAGAAUAGAAAUUGAUUGAAGUGAAACACAUAUCAACAUAUCAAGAUAAAGAUGUUUCAGUAUCUUUAUCUCUCCAUAUUUCUCAAUUUCUCAAUUGAUGUUUCAAUUCAUCUAUUGUAUGACAAUUUCUCAAUUGCUCACUCCAUAUUUCUCAAUUUCCUAGAUUCUUAUUUCUCUCUCGGUAGAUUUCUUCUCCUAUCAGUUUCGGUUAACCUAGCGAUUGAACAUCACCCUACUCAGAGAGAAAAAGGAUGGUUCAUUCGAUUUAGAGAAUCUCAGAAAAGAUUUCAACAAGUACAAUAAGGAUAUCUCCAAAGUCAAGCGUGCUAAAUCAAAUAAAUGCUUUAGGCCAACAAUGUCGUGAUUAUAAUGUGGGGACAGAAAAGAGUAGAACAUAAACUCAAGAAUCACAUGGGUCCCGUUGACCUUCUCGGGAUAAUAGAUUUGAAGAAAGGUUGCAAGUUAUUCAUCUAUUCAAGUCUAUAAUUUUCAGAUCAAGACUGCUGUACUAAGGAUACGAUUUCCCUGCUUGCCAACUCCAAUAUUUCACGGCAUUCCUUUUGUGGAAAAAGAUGCAAAGAGUUGUGUACAUAUAGGAGAUGAUGGGCUAGCAACACUCGCAACCGGAUGCAACAAGUUGACCAUGUUCGACCUAUCAUAUUACAAUAGAAUGACAGACACAGGGUUGAAUAUUGAUGCUAUUUGUAUACUUUCAUGUCUUCAAAACUCUGCAAGGAUAUUGGAAGCAACUUUCUGUAAUUUUUAAGGACAAGUAUUUGGCAAACUCUGCAUAUUGGAAGUAGAAUCAUGCACUAGUUGAGGAAGAGAAUUUUACACAAAUUUGAUAGAAAAUGAAAAAAUUACAAGACAAUCAUAAUUAGAUGCCAAUUCAAAUGGUUUUGGAAGAAGAUAGCAUCCUUAAGAAAGCAGUUGAAAGAUAGUACAAUAAAGUAGCAGCUUAAGUCUUGCUCUGAUAUUAUGCCUAAGAUU